GGGUAUCUGUGGGUUAUCUAUGGGGUCUCUAUGGGGUAUCCAUGGGGUAUCCAUGGGGUAUCCAUGGGGUCUCUAUGGGGUAUCUAUAGGAUACCUAUGGGGUCUCUAUGGGGCUCUCCAUGGGAUAUCUGUGGGGUCUCUAUGGGGUCUCUAUGGGGUAUCCAUGGGGCAGCCAUGGGGUACCCAUAGGGUACCUAUGGGGUAUCCAUGGGAUCUCUAUAGGGUACUUAUGGGUUACCUAUGGGGUCUCAAUGGGCACACUAUGGGGUCUCAAUGGGGUCUCUAUGGGGUAUCCAUGGGGCAGCCAUGGGGUAUCCAUGGGGUAUCCAUGGGGGCUCUAUGAGGUAUCCAUGUGGGCUCUAUGGGCACACUAUGGGGUCUCAAUGGGGUCUCUAUGGGGUAUCCAUGGGGUACCUAUGGGGUAUCCAUGGGAUGUCUGUAGGGUACUUAUGGGUUAUCUAUGGGGUAUCCAUGGGUUAUCCAUGGGGUAUCCAUGGGGUAUCCAUGGGGUAUCCAUGUGGGCUCUAUGGGCACACUAUGGGGUCUCUAUGGGGUCUCUAUGGGGUAUCCAUGGUCUCAAAAUGGGGUCAAUGGUGUCUUUGGGGUUAAUGGGGUCAAUACGGUUAAUGGGGGUCAUUGGGGUCAACGGGGGCUCUGGGGCAAUGGCGGUCAUUCGGGUCAAUGGGGAUUAUUGGGGUUAAUGGGGGCAUUGAAGUCAAUGGGGUUAAUGGGGUCAGUGGGGGUAAUUGGAGUCAAUGGGGUCAGUGGGAUUAAUGGGGUCAGUGGGGUCAAUAGGGUCAUAUGAGGUUAAUGGGGUCAGUGGGGUCAGUGGGGUUAAUGGGUUGUUGGGGUCAUAUGGGGUCAUGGGUUUCAUUAGGAUCUUUGGGAUCGGUGGGGUCAGUGGGGUUAUUUGGGUCAGUGAGGCUGUUGGGGUCAAUAGGAUCAUCAGGAUCAGUGGGGUCAGUGGGGUCAAUAGGGUCAUUGGGGUCAAUGGGGCCAUGUUGGAUCAUUGGGGUCAGUGGGGUCACUGGGUCAAAGGGGUCAAUGGGGUCAAUGGGAUCAGUGGGGUAAAUGGGUUGUUGGGGUCAUAUGGGGUCAUGGGUAUCAUUAGGAUCUUUGGGAUCGGUGGGGUCAGUGGGGUCAUGCGGGGUUAAUGGGGUCAAUGGGGUCAGUGGGGUUAAUGGGUUGUUGGUGUCAUAUGGGGUCAUGGGUAUCAUUAGGAUCUUUGGGAUCGGUGGGGUCAGUGGGGUUAUUCGGGGUCAUUGGGGUCAAUGGGGCCAUGUUGGAUCAUUGGGGUCAGUGGGGUCACUGGGUCAAAGGGGUCAAUGGGGUCAAUGGGAUCAGUGGGGUAAAUGGGUUGUUGGGGUCAUAUGGGGUCAUGGGUAUCAUUAGGAUCUUUGGGAUCGGUGGGGUCAGUGGGGUCAUGCGGGGUCAUUAUGGUUAAUGGG
ensembl:lncRNA